rnacentral:rRNA from 1 species
UGGGGAAUAUUGCACAAUGGGGGAAACCCUGAUGCACCGACGCCGCGUGAGCGAAGAAUUCCUUCGGUUCGUAAAGCUCUUUUAUGAGGGAAGAUAAUGACGGUACCUCAAGAAAAAGCCCCGGCUAACUACGUGCCAGCAGCCGCGGUAAUACGUAGGGGGCUAGCGUUGUCCGGAAUCACUGGGCGUAAAGGGUUCGCAGGCGGAAUAACAAGUCAGAUGUGAAAGGCAUGGGCUCAACCCAUGUAAGCAUUUGAAACUGUAAUUCUUGAGAAGUGGAGAGGUAAGUGGAAUUCCUAGUGUAGCGGUGAAAUGCGUAGAUAUUAGGAGGAAAACAAGAGGCGAAGGCGACUUACUGGACACAAAUCUGACGCUGAGGAACGAAAGCGUGGGUAGCAAACAGG